GGUAAUUGCCUCCCGAGGUCCACAUGGGGAUGCCCAGCCUCGUAUUCGUCUUUCCCGGGGAAUUGAGUGACCGGUCUUGGCCUGACACUCUGGAAUCGAGAGAUGCAGAAGGGGGUAAAAAUUGUACCCUCAUUGGCCUAUUCUCCUCGAGGAGAAGCUCACAGAGGAUCUAAAUGCAAUUACAAGUGUCAAAGGUUGACUACUGGCAGACACACUCCAAGUUCUUUCCCAGAUCAGAAGAACUACUUUACGUAAGCUCAGAAGUCUGUCUCUCAUUGGACCAACUGCUACUGAUGAAAGAGUUUCUCACCCAUCCUGUCUUUCUGGGACCAACAAGACUACAGCAACACUGUAUUUACUUUGCACGGAGCCCUAUUAACUGUCUUUAUAGGUUAAUAUUCCAGCCAGACUAUGGUUAAUGACUUAUAUUUUAAUUUCUUGU